ACGCUACAACACAACUGCAAUGUGGUGAUCGCAAGCUUUGCAGGCAAUAGCUGUGAUUCCUACGGACAGCAGUAAAGCAAUAAGGGUGCGCUGAGGUGGAGGAUACGAAGGAGGCGCGCAACGUGCCAGGCAAUUUAGUAUACAGACACGCAAGCACAUUCAUUUUUUUAAAGUAUGUACAUACAUAUGUAUAUACUAUAUACUAUACGAAUCUAUGUAACUAGUAAUGUGCUCGUACUGUGUGUGCAUGCCAUGACUGAAAGCGAUCGCAGGAAGACUGGGGUGCCAAAAGAAAGUUGUCCAUGGAAAUAGCCACGUAAAAUAUGUUAAUCCGCUGAUGGUAACCUGACUUCACUUCAAGUACAUAAGUACCAGUUUACACACAAACAUACAUACAAACAUGCUUGCUGGUUGAAUAUUUCAAAAGUUGAAAAGAAGAAUCAGGUCAACGAGUGUGACAUUUCUGGCGAUUUUGCAACCAAACAACCACCGACGGAGCACAAAGAGGCCCUCACUUGUGACUUAAGUAAUUUCUGCAAGAUUUGAUAUUUACGAACAUACAUCCAUACAUAUAUUCAUACGUAAAAAGCUCACGCGUGCACUUCUUCAAGCACGUACCACAUAAUUUGUGUAGAUGAAAAAAAAAGAGUUCAAGAAAAAACCGCUAAGAAUGCUCAUUGCUGACAUUUCAUGCCACAUCGAGGUUAACUGAUUUGGAUUACGAAGUGUUAUUGUAGUUUUUUCACUCAUAUGAUUAAUAUAAAAUUGCUGGAAAUAAAGAAUUCAUUUGUAAAAAAUGUAAAAUAAAUACUCCAAUUCAAGGUUGUUUAGUUUUUACGGAGUUAACUGGCUUCAAAGAAUUCUCUUUUUGGUGCUUCAUUAGAUCGCAGUUUGUGAAAAUAAAACUCUUUAACAGUUCCGGAUGGGAUUUUGUGCAACCUUGUAACUCUGAACGAAAUACAUAUAUAUUCAGCUGAGGGAUAUAUGUAUCUACUAUACAG